CCUACGGGUGGCAGCAGUAGGGAAUAUUGCUCAAUGGGGGAAACCCUGAUGCAGCGACGCCGCGUGAGUGAAGAAGUAUUUCGGUACGUAAAGCUCUAUCAGCAGGGAAGAAAAUGACGGUACCUGACUAAGAAGCCCCGGCUAACUACGUGCCAGCAGCCGCGGUAAUACGUAGGGGGCAAGCGUUAUCCGGAUUUACUGGGUGUAAAGGGAGCGUAGACGGCAGCGCAAGUCUGGAGUGAAAUCCCAUGGCUUAACCAUGGAACUGCUUUGGAAACUGUGCAGCUAGAGUGCAGGAGAGGUAAGCGGAAUUCCUAGUGUAGCGGUGAAAUGCGUAGAUAUUAGGAGGAACACCAGUGGCGAAGGCGGCUUACUGGACUGUAACUGACGUUGAGGCUCGAAAGCGUGGGGAGCAAACAGGAUUAGAUACCCCAGUAGUC
rnacentral:rRNA from 1 species